rnacentral:lncRNA from 1 species
CUUCGACGAAGCGUCUCCAUCUUCGCACUCGCUUCAUCUAUUCUCGCAGUGCAAAGUUAUCGCUUUGCUUCCAUUUCUAGAAGAAAAGGCGAUAAAAGGAAAUAGCUAAGAAGGCGAGGUGAGGCGAGGCGGGGCGAGGCGAGGCAAGGAGGGAGAAAUGGCUGCACAGCAGGUCGGUCAUAGACUGCUUUUUCUAAAGAGUAUGAGAAGCUGGAAUAACCGACCCGAUGAACCGAGGUUCCGGAGGACAGAACGGUACACGAUGCCUUCCUCCUCUUUCUCCUCCAACCUUCACCGAGAGGCCACCGAAGAUGAGGGCCAGCAGGACCUCGGAGUUCCCACUCUUGAAAUUCCUAACUCGCAAUCAGCCAUAAAGACCCUCUCGAGUUCCUCCAAGACGAAGCAAUUCCCCGAGAUGAAGCAGGAGAGAAACGAUGAAACGAAUGGAAGAGGGCACUCCGUUAUCGUUCACCUCUCAUAACGGUUUCUUCGACGGAGGGCGCGAUCCCACAUCGCUUCGUGUCGUCGCUCGGUAAGAAUGGUCCGCCGUUUAUAUCUAACAGUUCGUUGGAGAUUUUGUCACCUGCAACGCAACGACAUUCGAUUACAUAGAAAACAGUUUUAUACACGUAGCACGCAUGAUCGGGAUUAAACAAACUUAUCAUUUA